rnacentral:rRNA from 1 species
CCCUUAGAUGUUCUGGGCCGCACGCGCGCUACACUGUUUGAUUCAGCGAGUCUUAACCUUGACCGAAAGGUUUGGGUAAUCUUCUAAAGUCAAACGUGAUGGGGAUCGAUCAUUGCAAUUAUUGAUCGUGAACGAGGAAUUCCUAGUAAAUGCAAGUCAUCAGCUUGCGUUGAUUACGUCCCUGCCCUUUGUACACACCGCCCGUCGCACCUACCGAUUGAAUGGUUCGGUGAAGAUCUCGGACUUCGAUAUUUAUUCUUUAUUGAGUUUAUAUUGUGGGAAGUUAUCUAAACCUCAUCAUUUAGAGGAAGGUGAAGUCGUAACA